rnacentral:rRNA from 1 species
UGGGGGAUAUUGCACAAUGGGCGAAAGCCUGAUGCAGCGACGCCGCGUGGGGGAUGAAGGCUUUCGGGUUGUAAACCUCUUUCGCUAUCGAACAAGGCCCGCUUAGGGUGGGUUGAGGGUAGGUGGAGAAGAAGCGCCGGCUAACUACGUGCCAGCAGCCGCGGUAAUACGUAGGGCGCGAGCGUUGUCCGGAAUUAUUGGGCGUAAAGGGCUUGUAGGCGGCUUGUUGCGCCUGCUGUGAAAACGCGGGGCUUAACUUCGCGCGUGCAGUGGGUACGGGCAGGCUUGAGUGUGGGAGGAGUGACUGGAAUUCAAGGUGUAGGGGUGGAAUGCGCAGAUAUCUGGAGGAACACCGAUGGCGAAGGCAGGUCACUGGGCCAUUACUGACGCUGAGGAGCGAAAGAAUGGGUAGCGAACAGG